rnacentral:rRNA from 1 species
GACGAACGCUGGCGGCGUGCUUAACACAUGCAAGUCGAACGAAGAGCGAUGGAAGCUUGCUUCUAUCAAUCUUAGUGGCGAACGGGUGAGUAACGCGUAAUCAACCUGCCCUUCAGAGGGGGACAACAGUUGGAAACGACUGCUAAUACCGCAUACGAUCUAAUCUCGGCAUCGAGGAUAGAUGAAAGGUGGCCUCUAUUUAUAAGCUAUCACUGAAGGAGGGGAUUGCGUUUGAUUAGCUAGUUGGAGGGGUAACGGCCCACCAAGGCGAUGAUCAGUAGCCGGUCUGAGAGGAUGAACGGCCACAUUGGGACUGAGACACGGCCCAGACUCCUACGGGAGGCAGCAGUGGGGAAUCUUCCGCAAUGGACGAAAGUCUGACGGAGCAACGCCGCGUGAGUGAUGACGGCCUUCGGGUUGUAAAGCUCUGUUAAUCGGGACGAAAGGCCUUCUUGCGAAUAGUUAGAAGG